rnacentral:rRNA from 1 species
UACGUAGGGUGCGAGCGUUGUCCGGAAUUACUGGGCGUAAAGAGCUCGUAGGUGGUUUGUCGCGUUGUUCGUGAAAACUCACAGCUUAACUGUGGGCGUGCGGGCGAUACGGGCAGACUGGAGUACUGCAGGGGAGACUGGAAUUCCUGGUGUAGCGGUGGAAUGCGCAGAUAUCAGGAGGAACACCGGUGGCGAAGGCGGGUCUCUGGGACGUGACUGACGCUGAGACGCGAAAGCGUGGGGAGCAAACAGG